AUGUGAUCGUCUCUCGCAUAUCAAUAAGCGGAGGAAAAGAAACUAACAAGGAUUCCCCUAGUAACGGCGAGUGAAGCGGGAAGAGCUCAAAUUUGAAAUCUUAAAGGGUUUCCCUUUACGAAUUGUAGUUUAAAGAAGUGUUUUCUGUUGAGGUUUUGGUAAAAGUUCUUUGGAAUAGGACAUCAUAGAGGGUGAGAAUCCCGUAUUUGACCUUUACUUUCAACUUUGUGAUACACUUUCAAAGAGUCGGAUUGUUUGGGAAUGCAGUCCAAAAUGGGUGGUAAAUUUCAUCUAAAGCUAAAUAUUGGCGAGAGACCGAUAGCGAACAAGUACCGUGAGGGAAAGAUGAAAAGAACUUUGAAAAGAGAGUUAAACAGUACGUGAAAUUGUCAAAAGGGAAGCGUUUGACACCAGUGUUGUUUUUCUGAAAAUCAAUUAAAGAACUGUUUAUGCUAAGCUUGUUUAGACUUUAUCAGCUAUCUGUUUAGUUUUAGGCUUUUCUUUAAUGCACUUUUCAGUUAACAAGUCAACAUCAAUUUCUUUUGCUGUAAAAAAGCUUGAGGAAGGUGGCUUGAGAUUCGUCUUAAGUGUUUAUAGCCUCUUGCCUAUGCAGUCGGAGAGAUUGAGGUCUGCAGCGUAGAUCCUUCGGGGCUAAAUGCAUUUGUGCUAAGUUAUAGCAUUUUAUAGACAACUUGUUGACUAUGAUUUGUCUUGUAGCUUACUCGCUUAUGUUAUUUUACCUACGCUUAGGAUGUUGAUCUACAGAGCGAGAGU
rnacentral:rRNA from 1 species